rnacentral:rRNA from 1 species
UACGAAGGGGGCUAGCGUUGCUCGGAAUCACUGGGCGUAAAGCGCACGUAGGCGGCUUUCUAAGUCAGGGGUGAAAUCCUGGAGCUCAACUCCAGAACUGCCUUUGAUACUGGAGAGCUUGAGUCCGGGAGAGGUGAGUGGAACUCCGAGUGUAGAGGUGAAAUUCGUAGAUAUUCGGAAGAACACCAGUGGCGAAGGCGGCUCACUGGUCCGGUACUGACGCUGAGGCGCGAAAGCGUGGGGAGCAAACAGG